rnacentral:rRNA from 1 species
CAGCACAGCAGUAGCAAUACUGUGGGUGGCGAGUGGCGGACGGGUGAGUAAUGCAUCGGGACCUGCCCAGACGUGGGGGAUAACGUAGGGAAACUUACGCUAAUACCGCAUACGUCCUACGGGAGAAAGCGGGGGAUCGAAAGACCUCGCGCGGUUGGAUGGACCGAUGUUCGAUUAGCUAGUUGGUGAGGUAAUGGCUCACCAAGGCGACGAUCGAUAGCUGGUCUGAGAGGAUGAUCAGCCACACUGGGACUGAGACACGGCCCAGACUCCUACGGGAGGCAGCAGUGGGGAAUAUUGGACAAUGGGCGCAAGCCUGAUCCAGCAAUGCCGCGUGUGUGAAGAAGGCCUUCGGGUUGUAAAGCACUUUUAUCAGGAGCGAAAUACCACGGGUUAAUACCCUAUGGGGCUGACGGUACCUGAGGAAUAAGCACCGGCUAACUUCGUGCCAGCAGCCGCGGUAAUACGAAGGGUGCAAGCGUUAAUCGGAAUUACUGGGCGUAAAGGGUGCGUAGGCGGUUCGUUAAGUCUGUUGUGAAAUCCCCGGGCUCAACCUGGGAAUGGCAAUGGAUACUGGCGAGCUAGAGUGUGAUAGAGGAUGGUGGAAUUCCCGGUGUAGCGGUGAAAUGCGUAGAGAUCGGGAGGAACAUCAGUGGCGAAGGCGGCCAUCUGGAUCAACACUGACGCUGAAGCACGAAAGC